rnacentral:rRNA from 1 species
AUGAUUGGCAGCAGCAAGAGGAAGACUGCAGCUGCCAUGCCGUCCCGCAGCGAGGCCACCAAGAAGACGGCGGAGGUGCUCCCAAGCAACAAGAGGAAGAAGGCCGUCAUAUCAUCAGCUUGCGCGCCGUUGUUCCCCGAUGACAUGAUACUGGAGGUUCUACUCCGGCUCCCGGUCAAAUCCAUCCUGCGUUUCCGCUCCGUCUGCCGCUCCUGGGCCGCAAUGCUGUCCUCCAAGGAUUUCUGCAGCCUCCACAUCGGAGUGAAUUGCAAAAAACCACCACAUUUCGGGCUUCAUCUGCGGAAAACCACCUGA